rnacentral:rRNA from 1 species
GUAGGUGGCAAGCGUUGUCCGGGAUUAUUGGGCGUAAAGCGCGCGCAGGCGGUUCUUUAAGUCUGAUGUGAAAGCCCACGGCUCAACCGUGGAGGGUCAUUGGAAACUGGAGAACUUGAGUACAGAAGAGGAAAGCGGAAUUCCACGUGUAGCGGUGAAAUGCGUAGAGAUGUGGAGGAACACCAGUGGCGAAGGCGGCUUUCUGGUCUGUAACUGACGCUGAGGCGCGAAAGCGUGGGGAGCAAACAGGGAUUAGAUACCCUGGUAGUCCACGCCGUAAACGAUGAGUGCUAAGUGUUAGGGGGUUUCCGCCCCCUUAGUGCUGCAGCUAACGCAUUAAGCACUCCGCCUGGGGAGUACGGCCGCAAGGCUG